rnacentral:rRNA from 1 species
UACGAAGGGGGCUAGCGUUGCUCGGAAUGACUGGGCGUAAAGGGCGCGUAGGCGGUUUGGACAGUCAGGCGUGAAAUUCCUGGGCUUAACCUGGGGGCUGCGCUUGAUACAUCCAGACUUGAGUGGGGAAGAGGGUCGUGGAAUUCCCAGUGUAGAGGUGAAAUUCGUAGAUAUUGGGAAGAACACCGGUGGCGAAGGCGGCGACCUGGUCCUUUACUGACGCUGAGACGCGAAAGCGCGGGGAGCGAACGGG